UAAGCAGACGCGUCUCUCAUGAUGUAAGUGAAAUUAAUGGGCCUUUCGGGCCUCCUAGGCAUAUGCUUUCUUACUUGUAUUUUCUUAAAUUCUUAAUCUUUAAUAAACCUCAUAAAAUAUAAUACUUCUAGCAGAGAAACUAAUUUUACCUGCAACAGUUUUGGCGUAACCACUUUGGGAAAAACGAAAUACCCUCAAUCUUCUGAUCUACUUUAACUAAGUUCAGCCUUUAACAGCUAGUGCCUAGUUUGUUUUUUAAGCCAUGUUUCUCUGGCCAAGGUUUUUUACCCUUGCAAAGCUGUUGCUGAUUCAGCUUGUUCCAGCCAUUAGAUAGAUCGCGGGCACCCGGCCCUGCCUGCCUGCAUUCCUGCCUCUGCUCCAGACCUGUUUGCUGUUUGUCGCUCACCUGGCCCCAGCCCCAGCUCGUUCUGUCUGCCUGCAACCCGGACCUGUUUGACCCAAAUCUCGAUCACCUGGUGAGCCCCAGCAAACUCUAGUCUCAGAGCAGACUGCUCAUUGCCCCAGGCCCAGGACUCAUUUCUACCAGCUGGUAAAGACAGGGAAGGUAAUUUUCCCUUAGGCUAUGAUUAGCCUCCACAUGGACUGGGGGCAGGGGAUCACAGGAGGGGAGAAAGAAAGGGAAAGAAGGAAAAGACUUUUGCAUGGAAUAUUUAAAAGGAUAUCUUUUAACUAUAUUGAUCAUUUCAUUUACUUCACAUGAGAUUCAGGAAAAAAAUUCAGCUCUAUGCAACUCUUUAGCUAACUUUGGGGAGGCAGCUGGGUGGCUCAGUGGACUGAGAGCCAGGCCUAGAGACGGGAGGUCCUUAGUUGAAAUCUGGCCUCAGAUACUUCCCAGCUGUGUGGCCCUGGAUGGGUCAUUUAAACCCCAUUGCCUAACCAUUCUUCUGCCUUCCAACAAAAGGCAUCUAAAUGGAUAAAAAACCAAGGAACUUUAAAAAGACUGGAGGUUAUAUUUUUAAGGCAUUUCAGACUCCAAUGUUUUAUAAAAAUCUCUGUAUUUCUAUUGCAUUUUACUGAUUGCUUUGUUUAAGAUUUAACUUUGUGAUUUUAAAUUCAUAUAUUACUGCAUUCAAUGUUAUUCUGUUAUACUGUUCGUUUUAAUGUACUGAGUUUUAACUACUGUUAUGUUGUUGCUUUUCCCCUAUAACCACACUGAACAAACAUUAUUAAGCCCAUAUAAAAACAGCUUUUCUAUUUUUGACUUUAUAAAUUGUCACAAAGAGGAUAGAUGAACUCCUUCAGAACAUUGCUACAAUUGUAACCGUUGGAAAAUUAAAUGAGCUAAAUAUCUCAAGUCAAUUUUAAGGGUUCUUUAGACAUGGUUUUUAGAAUUUUUCUUAACAAUCUCUGGUCAUUUUUGCCUGUCCCUAACACGAGGUGUAAGGCCCAUUCUAGUAGCUUAAGUGAAAUACAAUUAUAACCCCCAACCUUCCUGCAUUUCUAAAAAUGUGAAUGGAAGUUAGGCAGUUAAUCUCAGGGCAUUUGUACCCCUAAAAAGCCUCAAAAAAAGGAGCUUCUCUCAUUUAUACUCUUCAGCUCAUUUUACUUCCACCAGAAUGAUCUCUAGAUUUCUUGAUGAUGUUCUAAACCCAAAAUGAGUUUUACUUUAUUUAAAAAUGUAUUUGCCAAGGUUGAAAGAUUUGCUACAUUUGUAAAAAAUUGUGACAAAUAUCCAUCAGUUCAUAGGCUUUAAAAAUGCCAUAUAGCAACUUAUGUAAAAAAUUAUACUGUGUUUGUUUGCUAUUGUAAUUAACUGGGCUAUUGAGAAUUUUGGUGAUAUUGAUACCACAUAUUUGUACUACUGCUCAAUUCAUUUGCUUUCACUCACAGUGGAUCAUGGCCAGAUAUGAAGAGGAAAUGGAUCUCAUUUUUGGACAAGAUAUAUACAAAAGAGCCAUUGCACAGGGCCAAAGAUAAACCAAUCCAGGUCGAAUUGAUGCACUUCCAAGCCAAUACAAAGGACUUGAACCUAGUGUGAAGACUCAAGACUGUGAUGUUUAACAUAUGUUAAGACAUAGGCCUUCCUUGUGUCCACACUCACUCUGAAAAUACAAAUGAGUAUUCCCAAACUUCGCUCCUACUUGGCUCCUAUAAUCUGGUCCCUUUUCUAUCUUUCAUUGUGUGGUAACUUUCUGUAGUUCUUGCUACUAGAUUGGGUAAAUGCUUACUUGCUUAGAUCAUCUAAUUGGGCCCUGAUUCAAGGACCUGUUAUAGAUUUAUUUUUCCUUUACUUAGAAUUUUUACACAUAAGACUUUGAUAGUCUAUAUUUUCAUCCAGUAAUUUUCUUUUUUAUUUGGAUUUUUCUGAUGUCUUUUUAAUUCCUCUUGCCAAUAGAUUCAUAUACCUCAUAACUCAGCCAUGCAUCCUUAAGUGAUCCUGUGUUUUUUAAUCACCCUUUUAAUGGGGAAAUGUAAAAAAUAUUAUUAUUUUAAAUUGCAAAGUUAAAAUUCCUCUUGAGAAGAAUUUUAGGUAAAAAAACAUACUACCUCUCCGAAUCCAGAAACUGAACUGCUUGGAGAAGGCACUUCGAAGAUGCCUCCAGACCACAAGCUGCACAAGAAGAUCAAAAUGAACUUUGGGUGUGGUUGAUUGAACAUUUAUUUGUAUGUAUACUUUCAUGCCAAAGGGGACUGUCCCCUAACUGGCUUUUUGUCAAUGCGCCCAGCAAUUAUUGGUUUUGUUCUUUUUUCCUCUUCCUCAAAUUAUUGUGAUCUUUAAGUUGAUUGUGUUUUCACGAUCCUUUGGGAAAAACCAUUUUCCCAGAGGAUCAUAUGCGUAAUUGUAAAAAGGGAGAUUUGAACCCCAGACUUCAAUCCCCAGAAGUCCUCGGCCACUUCCCAGAAUGCUUUGUAACCUCACCUGAAUUCCCACCUGGGCCAAGAACAAAUUAUUAUUUAAAGGGUCUCUGCCUAUGGCUCGCUCUCUUCCUACUUCCGCUUCCAAGCGUCUCUCAUGAUGUAAGUGAAAUUGAAUGGGCCUUUCAGCCCUCCUAGGCACGUGCUUUCUUACUUGUAUUUUCUUAAAUUCUUAAUCUUUAAUAAACCUCAUAAAACAUAA